GACGGAGGAUGCAAGUGUUAUCCGGAAUCACUGGGCGUAAAGCGUCUGUAGGUGGUCAAAUGAGUCAACUGUUAAAUCUUGAGGCUCAACCUCAAAAUCGCAGUCGAAACUAUUAGACUAGAGUAUAGUAGGGGUAAAGGGAAUUUCCAGUGGAGCGGUGAAAUGCGUAGAUAUUGGAAAGAACACCGAUGGCGAAGGCACUUUACUGGGCUAUUACUAACACUCAGAGACGAAAGCUAGGGUAGCAAAUGGG
rnacentral:rRNA from 1 species